rnacentral:lncRNA from 1 species
AGUGUAAACCGCCAAUAUAAGUAGAUAAGCCUCCUCGAACACCAGAUUCUUUGUAAGAGAAAUGUGGCAUUGAAUCAGGGAUUAAAUGAACCGGAAGCAUAAAGAGUUCUAUUGCAUUAACAAACGCAAAUGAUGAUGUUUGAGGUGUGAAUAUGAUUUUGAAUCUUUUUCUAAUGAUUUUAACGUAAUACUCUUUUACUAAAGCAGAUUUGGUGGUGUUUUCAGCGUUGAAAUUAUGUAACAGAAGGAAACCAGGAACGGAAAUGUUGAAUUUUGCAGUGGAAAGUUUAGUUGGUGAAGAGAAUGAAAAGAAACGGAAACGUACCAUAUAAGUGUUGUUUGGUAUGGUAGAAAAUUCGUAGGAGGAUUCAGAAUGGAAAAUUCUUGCUGUUUGGUAAAGAGGUGAAGACACUGAUGAUGGAUUGGUUUCUAUGGAACUUCUUUGGCUGAAUGAUUUUUUAGGGUAAGCAUGGUUUGAUUCACCAAUAUAAAGAUUCUUAUUUUCAUUCACGUCGAUAUCUGAUCCACAAUUGAUGAAGUAUGUCUCUUGAUGAUCGUAUCCGAGUGCAGGGAAGUGUAGUGAUGAGAAUUGAAGAAGAAGAAAAGCCAGUAAAAUGAUAGAGUGUUGAAUUGCCAUUGGGAGAGAGGAAAGUUUUGUUUGGUUGAUGAUUUUUUAAGCUAUGAUGAUAUUGAUGAUUGAAAUUCUUGUAACUUAUCA